UACGUAGGGGGCAAGCGUUGUCCGGAUUUAUUGGGCGUAAAGCGCGCGUAGGCGGCUUCACAAGUCCGAUGUGAAAACUCGAGGCUCAACCUCGAGCUGUCGGUGGAAACUGUGUGGCUAGAGUCCGGAAGAGGAGAGUGGAAUUCCCGGUGUAGCGGUGAAAUGCGUAGAUAUCGGGAAGAACACCGGUGGCGAAGGCGGCUCUCUGGGACGGUACUGACGCUGAGGCGCGAAAGCGUGGGGAGCAAACAGG
rnacentral:rRNA from 1 species